rnacentral:tRNA from 1 species
GGGGUUGUGGCUCAGUGGUAGAACACUCACCCAGUAUGGGUGAGGAACUGUGUUCAAUCCUCAGCACCACA